rnacentral:rRNA from 1 species
UAGCGGCAGGCUAACACAUGCAAGUCGAGGGCGAGCGGGGUAGCAAUACCCGCCGGCGACCGGCGAAAGGGUGCGUAACGCGUGAGCAACCUGCCCGCAUCCGGGGCAUAAGCGGUGGAAACGCCGUCUAAUUUCCCAUAACAACGAGGGCCGCAUGACCCACGUUUGAAAGAUCCGUCGGAUGCGGAUGGGCUCGCGAGACAUUAGCUAGUCGGCGUGGUAACGGCACACCGAGGCGACGAUGUCUAGGGGUUCUGAGAGGAAGGUCCCCCACACUGGAACUGAGACACGGUCCAGACUCCUACGGGAGGCAGCAGUGAGGAAUAUUGGUCAAUGGGCGCAAGCCUGAACCAGCCAUGCCGCGUGAAGGAAUUAAGGCCCUAUGGGUCGUAAACUUCUUUUGUGGCGGAGCAAUAAGGUCUACGUGUAGGCCGAUGAGAGUACGUCACGAAUAAGCAUCGGCUAACUCCGUGCCAGCAGCAGC